CGCAAGGGGAGCGGCAGACGGGUGAGUAACGCGUGGGAAUCUACCCAUCUCUACGGAACAACUCCGGGAAACUGGAGCUAAUACCGUAUACGUCCUUCGGGAGAAAGAUUUAUCGGAGAUGGAUGAGCCCGCGUUGGAUUAGCUAGUUGGUGGGGUAAUGGCCUACCAAGGCGACGAUCCAUAGCUGGUCUGAGAGGAUGAUCAGCCACACUGGGACUGAGACACGGCCCAGACUCCUACGGGAGGCAGCAGUGGGGAAUAUUGCACAAUGGGCGAAAGCCUGACGGAGUGACGCCGCGUGGGGGACGAAGGCCUUCGGG
rnacentral:rRNA from 1 species